rnacentral:lncRNA from 1 species
GAAUAUAUAAACAGAUGUGUAUGACAAAACGGAAGCAGGGCGUGUUCCACUGGAGGGUCCACAACUUUAAGGAAGACAGAGGAAUGAGUGACUGCUUCUGCCUGGAGAGUCAGUUACCUUGGAAAUAGGAGAAAAUGGGUUUGUCCUUGAAAGAUGAUAUUAGAGCGGAACUGUUCUUUCCUGCCCAGAUGUUUCCUUCUGUGUGGAAAGAGCCUAAUUAUUGUAACACGCUGACCUCUGUCCCCCUUUCCUCUCUCCGCACUAGGAUUUAUGAAAUUACCGCACUGAUGGUUAAUGAAGAAUGUCACUGUUGACUGUGCACCUCCCUUUUUUUCUCUGGGGUGUGAGCUUGCCUGCAGGGAGGCAGUUCUGCUCUGCUGGUUUAGGCUUUGUCUUACCUGGGCAGGUGGCUCUAGUCCAGAGGCCUGCCCCAGUUGGUCAUGACCCAUGACUGGAUGGAUAGGUCUGUGAAACUCUGAAAUUAGUUGGCAGUCCCAGUUGACCUGUAAUCACUUUUCUACCUUAUUCUGUGUUAGAACCUUCCAGGCAGUCAUUGAAAUUCCUUGUCACCUUGCAUAGAAAUGGCACAGUGUCCUGGUGCUGGGCUGAGCUGCAUUUUCCAGCCUCCUUUGCUGUUGGACGUGUGCUGCCUGGUGAGGAAGUCACAGCCAUGGGACAUGAGAAGUGACACCAAGGCUUCUGAGCAUAUGUGUGACCUUCCUCUUCACUCUUUUCCCUACAGUGGCUGGAUGCAGAUGAAGAUGAAGCCUUGGGGAUGGCUGUGCUGUGAGUUGAAACGAUCCUGGGCUCUGAGUCAUUGUGUGGAGCAGUCCUACACGCCAACAAAACCACGUGCCUUGGACUGCAAUUUUUAGUUUUCUCUCUACAGAACAGGAGCAGCAGCAGCCACUGUAGAGUGCCACAGAAUGGAACAAGGCACUUGUAGGUAGAAGAUAAAAUCGUCUCCACCCCUGCUUGCCUGGGGCCUUAACUGAGCAUCAUUGUUAGAAGAACUCAACCAACUUUAAGGUGAUACCACUGGCAGCUCUUCCUUGGGUCUGAAGAAUCUGUGGCAAACAAGCUUCCUAAAAUGAAUUUAUCUCCUCAGUGCUCAGGGUUAAAGCAAGUUUUCCCAAAAAAUUAAUGAGUAUUUCCAUAAGGGAUGAAAAUAUUUUUAUAAAGACUUGAAUCACACUUCAAGACAAAAGCCUGAAGACGGAGCUUUGAGUCCUGACUCCUUGCCUGAAGUUCUUGUCUGUGGAAUGUUCUAAUAGUUG